UCAGGCCUAACACAUGCAAGUCGAGGGGUAAAUAUGUAGCAAUAUAUAAGAGACCGGCGCACGGGUGCGUAACACGUAUGCAACCUACCUAUUACUGGGGUAUAGCUCAGAGAAAUCUGAAUUAAUCCCCCAUAACACUGCGAGAAGGCAUCUUUUUGCAGUUAAAGCUCCGGCGGUAAUAGAUGGGCAUGCGGAACAUUAGCUAGUUGGUGAGGUAAUGGCUCACCAAGGCUACGAUGUUUAGGGGGUCUGAGGGGAUGAUCCCCCACACUGGUACUGAGACACGGACCAGACUCCUACGGGAGGCAGCAGUAGGGAAUAUUGGGCAAUGGACGAAAGUCUGAAAGAGCCAUGCCGCGUGCAGGAUGACGGUCCUAUGGAUUAAGAGUGCUUUUUUACGGGAAGAAACCCCUGGAU
rnacentral:rRNA from 1 species